GAUGAAGAACGUAGCGAAAUGCGAUAAGUAGUGUGAAUUGCAGAAUUUAGUGAAUCAUCGAAUCUUUGAACGCACAUUGCGCCCCAUGGUAUUCCGUGGGGCAUGCCUGUUCGAGCGUCAUUUACCCCCUCAAGCUCCGCUUGGUGUUGGGCGUCUGUCCCGCUUCGCGCGCGGACUCGCCCCAAAGGUAUUGGCAGCGGUCGUGCCAGCUUCUCGCGCAGCACAUUGCGCUUCUCGAGGCACCGGUGGGCCCGCGUCCAUCAAGCUCACCCCCCCAGUUUGACCUCGGAUCAGGUAGGGAUACCCGCUGAACUUAAGCAUAUCAAUAAGCGGAGGA
rnacentral:misc_RNA from 1 species